GGGAAUAUAGCUCAGUGGUAGAGCACUUGCCUAGCAUGCAAGAGACCCUGGGUUCAGUUCCCAAUACUGCAA
rnacentral:tRNA from 1 species